UCAAAUAUUAAAGAUAUCUCUAAAGGCGUUUGCUAAAAUUAUUCAGAGGGGGGGAAAAUCUAUAAAAGAAUUUAAGAGCUUAAAGAAAUCUUUACUUUUGCCUUUUUUGCAGUGCUGGUGAACAAACCCUGGAGCCUACUCUGCAAGCACUUCUAGCAUUAACAACACCCGCAGGCCCCUUAAGGGAAAGUUUUUGGCAGAUAAAUAGGUAGACUAAAUGUAGUAUAUACAUAGAAAGGAAAUUCUGACACAAACUAUGACAUGAAUAAACAUGGAGGACAUUAUGUUGAGUAAAACAAAUCAGUCAUAAAAAAACCAAUAUUGUUUGAGGUCACUAGAGUGGCGAGAUACAUAGAGACCAAAAAUGGAAUGGUAAUUGCCAGAGAUUGGGGACAGGAAUAACAGGGAGUUGGCACUUCAUAGGCACAAACUUAGUUUGCAGGUGAACAGGCCUGUGGAGGGACGUGAUGCCACCACAACCACAUGGAUGUACUUAAUGCCGCUGUACAGCUUGCCAUGCACAAUGGUAAAGAUGGUCUUUGCCAUCUCGAUCCAUCUGUCUCCCUCCACGUCCCCCUCCCACCCCGCUCCACCUUUGGCCUCUGCAGGAACUGUCCCUACUGAAAGUGUUGCUCAACAGAGUAAGCAUCUCCUUUUGUUGCAGAAAAAAAGCCAAAAAAAGUUUUAAAACAUUAGUACUGGUAAAAUUAAAUUGAUUUUUUAAAAUCAGAAUUAUUUUUGAAUAAUAUUUUCCAUGCAGCCAAACCACCCACAGGACUCCUGAACGCCCACUGAACAUAGCAUACUAUUGCAGGUCAGUGAGAGCUCUGGGACUGUAAUGCAGGCAUCUGCAGGAUGGAUGGAGAGGGAGGCGCACACGCAGCACUUGUCACCCUAGUAGCAUUGAUGCAGCUCUAGAAGAAGCAGACCACUCUUGCCAUGGGGAAGAGGACUCUGCCUGACUGAGUAGAAACUGUUCCUUUGGCGGCUGCCCUGACACUCAGGCAUGGUGCUCAGAGACAGCAUGGGGACAAGUAAGGAUCUGAGAGAAUCAGAGACAGGGGAGGGGCAGCAGAAGCCCUCUGUGUACUGCAGAGAGGACUAGGAGAGAGUGACAGGCAAGUGAGUGACCUUGCGGGGACGUAACUCUGGCAUAUGGCCAUUUUCAGAGUGGACGGGGUGACGGAGUGUGGGAUGGCAAGGCUCACUCAGUAUAAUUUCAGGCCCAGAAUUCCCUGCAUUCUACCAUCAUCUCUGUCUCGUCCAGAGCUUUGCCACACCUGGAGUUCUUCACUCCAGCAAAAGCUGUGGCUGUGAGGUUUUGAGGUUCUACUCCAGGCAUUAGGGAAGGAGAGGUGACACAGAACUGCAAUCGCACAGCCAUGUGAAGGACUGACUCAGGUGGUCUCUUGUGAGCCGGUCCCUGUGGGAUGGAGGGUGCACCCAAGGCCUGGACGAGAGGUGGUGUAUGGGGCACCAAAGAGGCGCAGGGAGGGAGGAAGAUCCAGAAGAGGGUCUGAGGCACAGGGGCUGCACAUCCCCCUUGUGUCCACCCCAAGGCGGGUCCCUGCUUAGCCCUACCCAGGUGUGACUGGCAAGGUGCCGGGAGCAAUCCUAAGUGGAGAGGAACCUGUAGGCUUGUGCUCCUCUUUGCUUUCUAGCCCUGGAGGGGGCUGGCCAGGAGGGGCUGGCCGUGAAGGGGAAAAGUGACUCCAUCAAGUUUGCCUUGGACUUUUUGUUUUUUUUUUUCUUUCCUUGCCCCCAGGUGUGGAUUUCUCCAGCUGUGUUUGGACAGUCCUGCUCUCUGGGUAAUGAAGAGCAGUUGCAUGACACAACAUUGGGCAGUGACUUGCACUGGAAAAUCGACAUGAGCUUCUGAGUAAGGCCUGUUGUUUUUUGUCUAUUUGGCCAUUUGCUACUUUGAAAGAUCCAUCUGGGAGCAGAAGAUGAACUUCCCUGGGGGUGGAUGUGGGGGUCUGUCUUAUUCAUGAACUGCUUUCAGAGCUAGGUGAAAGUUCGGGGAAAGAAAAUCAUGAAUUUGUUUUCCAUUACUACUGUACAAACAUUGCCACAAACCUAAUGAUUUAACACAUUAAUUCUCUUAUACUUCUGGAGAUCAGAAGUGUGAAAUCAGUUUCACUGGGCCAGAAGCAAGGAAAUAUAUAUUCUCUUUCGCUCUCUCCCUCUAUUAUUAUUUAUAAUAAGUAAAUUAGUAUUUAUUUAUUCUCUCCCUCUCUCCUUCUCUCCCUCCCUCUGUCCCUCCCCUUGUACUAUGGCUUGGUUUCUCUUCUGUAGUUAAACACCCUUUGCUUCCCUUUGUGAUUACAUGUAGAAACCUUCGAGCAACUCAGGACAGUUUCCUUGACCUCAGGAUCCUCACUGUAGUCACUCGACAUUUAAGGUCAUCUCCAACGGUUCAGCAAUGAAGACCUGGCUAUCUCUGGGGCCAUUUUCCAGCAGUCCAGAGUCCUAACCUCCUGCUAACUGAGCACAGCUCCGAGGCUCAGGCUCGGAGUUGACUGGCCCUGAGGAAGACCCCUGUAGGAGGGGAGUCGCCCAGAGAUCUGCAAACCGCAGACCCUAUUUGUUUUCUUUCUCACCCUGCUUCCUAGGAUAAGGAGGAACUCAAAGCAUUUGAGACCCGAGAGGCUGAGGCAUGGAGCGCUGGGGGCAAAAGCUGCAAGACUAGAAUUCAGGGCCUCUGCUGCCCGGACCGGGCCUUGCUCCAGCUGGCUCCAGGCCCACCGCCUCCUCGCGCGCGCGCGCGCGCGGGGCCUGGCUGAGUGCGCCUCUCCACCGGGACAGCCGCGCUGCGAUCUCGCAUGCGGCCAGCAGGGGUCGGCAUCGCCCGCGCAAAGGGUCGAACGGCUGCAGCGGGCGAGCGCCGGGCUUUGUGGCGUUUCUCUAGUGGGGGGUGGUGCUCGCGCAUCUUGACCACGCGGCGGGUUCUGACCUUAGGGAACGCGGUCUGGGCGUGCACUCCAGGAAGGAGAGGAGCCGGCCCGAGGAAACUCUGGCCUUGCCCAGGAAGGCCCAGAAAAGACCGUGUGUCCCUAGGUGCGGUGGAGCCAGUGGAGAGCAUGGGCCCAGCGGCCAGAGGCAUAGGUUUCUUUGUGCACUCAAAGUUCAGAGGACUUCCUGAGAGCAGUGCAUGAUUCACUUCCAGAUGAGUUUCUCACUGGCAUCUCAGAUUCCUGGCCAGUUCGUCUGACUCCCGAGUCCCGUGGUUCCAAGUGUGAGAGCUCCCAGCUUCUGGUGCUGGGGGUGGGGUGGGGUGGGGUGGCUGCCAGCUGGGGAGGGCGUCCUAGGCCCGUGGGAAUUUCUUGGCCUGCGUCAUCUGUGGAGCCUCAGUAAGCUUUUGCUACUUUGGUGCAGAAUAAACCACUGAUUACGGCCUUAGCCUAAUUGCCCUUUCUCCCACUUACUUGUGGCCUGACUGAGGCAGCUGCUCCAGUAGCCUUUGGCCCCAUCAGUACUUGAAUGCUAUACCCAGAAAUGCCUACUUUAAGGAAAAGGGGCUAAGAUCUUCCUUUCUUGUACAGUAUUUCCCCCAUGGCUGAUUUCUCUAACCUUAGAGAAGUUAUAAACUAGAGCCGAGACCUGGUGUCAGAAAAGACCACGUUUAUUUGGCUCUGACUUUGCCACUUAGUAGCUGGGAGAAGAAGUGGAAUCGCUUCCCCCUGCGCUCCACGGGGCCUCUGGUGGUCCACCACAGGACUGUAGACAGAACCUGCUCAGCUGGGGUUUGUAAACAGCUGAGAGAAGAACUCCCCUGUUAGAGCCCAUCUCUUGUGCGCAUCCCAGGGGGGCUUUAGGGUCAUCUGGCUCCUGAGAGGCACAAGCUGUGGGACAAGAAACGAAGCUUGGCUUGGUUGACAGAGCAGCCUAUAGUGUGUGUCCUCACAGAUGGACUUCUCUCGUGCCCAGGUCAGACCCAAUCCAGGUGAUUCAUUCCGCCUAUGCAUGGUGUCCCCUGUCACUGUAACCAGACCACGUGAGUUCAACUGUAGCCCAAGAUUUACCAGUCAUGUGGCUUUAGCAAAAGUUACUUUACCUCAGUGGGGCCUGGUUUCCUCACCAAUGAAGUGGGUUGUGACAUAACCUACCAUCUUAACAUACUGUGAGGAUGAAGAAGUAAUGUGUGUAACACUGCUGAGCUGGGCUCCUGGCCCUCAGCAAUCUGACGCUGCUAAGCCAGUCAGUGAACUUUUGGAUCUUGAUAUGAAGGCCGAAGAAAGUAGAAAACACCGACCUAUAAGGUGGACCUCCUGCCACUGGUGAGUACAUGUUAGUCAUGGACAAAUGUCCAUCUCUUGGGAAAUCCAGAGCCAGCGAGUGCUUUGGGCUUCCUGGACAUCCGCAAGCUUCAGAGAAUACCCAGUCCUCUCUUGAUCAUGUUUGUCCUUUCUAAUUAAAAGUGUCCACGUCAGUGCCAGUAUGCAAUCCUUUGUGGGUAUUCAAGGAAAAAGUAAGCUCUUUUUGUUUUGAUUUUUUUUUUUAAUCUGUACCGGGGAUCAAACUCACGACUGCCUGCUUCUAAGGCAGGUUCUUAUGCCGCUGAGCUAAAUCCCCAGACCCCUUUGUUGUUGUUAUUAAGACAGGGUCUCACUUUGUAGUUCAGGCUGGCCUUUUGCUCACUGAUGAUCACCUCCAACUCAUGUGAUCCUCCUGCCUCAGCCUCCUGUGUCCUAGGAUUACAGAAGAUUCACAAUCUAUUAUGAAUGAGGUUGCUGUGACCAUUUGUGUAUGAUCUGAUAUGGAUGUAUGUUUUCUAUUUGAUAAAUACCUAGGAGUGUUAUUUUAGGGUCGUUUUCCUGCUUGUAGAAUUUCUGAUUGAAAAUUAUAAAAUUGUUGAAGAAUUGCUUCCCUCACAAGAGAGAUGUCAAUCAGGGUGACAGCAGGGGAAGUGCCACAGAUAUUGGGGAGUUGGUGGUUCUGUGAAUAACAGGCAGCCUAUCUGUGUGUGCGCUGGCGUCCCUUCCACCUUGGUGUCAAGAUGCUCCAGCAAACAACACUUCAGGGUCUUUUGUCAUAAACGUCAAUAGCCGUGGAGAGGCAGGCCUUAGAUGACCCUCUGGCCCUUCGCUGACUGUCACUGAAAUACACAUCAAUUUAGGUGUUAGGGUCUGCUCUUUUGGAAUUUCCUUAUGGUGGUAUGGUUCAAGUCAAAGUCAUACAGAGUUGAGGCUUCCUCGCUUAGAUGGGCCUGGAUCCCAGUUGCUUGUUCAGGCAAAGCGUGUGUUUCUGUUAUUGCCAUGAUUCUUGACCAAUUUACUCCAUGAAGCAACAACAUCCUCCUUCAGGUCAUUUUCCAGGUUGUCACAGAGACUUUUGUAACAAAUUAAAACAGAGAGAAUACUUUUCUUUACCUCAGACAAUGCCAACACUGACUUACACACUACCUUAGCUUGCAAAAUAAACUAUACUGCUUAAUUUUCACAUCAUCCUUAACUGGAAGGGAGAAUAGAAUGUUCAGAAUCAACCCACAUGUCAUUGUGUAUUAUUUUAAAAUGCUGUCUUGUUGUAAACAUUUUUGAGUACUGGACUUCUCUCAGGUCUUAAAGAAAUGGUUUUCUAAAAUAAGACAAAUCAGAGAGAGAGAAAAAAGAGAGAGGAGAGAGAGAGAGAGAGAGAGAGGGAGAGGAGAGAACGAGAACGAGAAGCUCACUCAAAGACUGAGAUCAAGACCAGAGCCACACUGGAGGCAUUUUGCUCCAUGACGUCUUACGAUUUGCAUAGCUAAAACACUUAUUGCAGCAGAGGGGUGAGAAAAUAUUCUGGGGCCUCAGUUUCAUCCUCUAUAAAGUGUACACCGCAGUCAUUUUUACCCUAGGUUUGUUGUGAAGAUUAAAUAAGAUCAUGGCAAGGUUAACAGAUGCUCUUCCUUCAACCACAGUAAAUGGUACUUGGCUGGUUAAUUAUGGGAAACUGUCAACACUAUUGUGGAAGACAGAGGCACGACUGAAUAACUCAUCAUUACGCCAGAGUCCCAUUCCUCUCUCUCUCUCUCCCUCUCUCUCUCUCUCUCUCUCUCUCUCUGCCCUUUCUCUCUCUGAUUUGUUCUUUCUCUGUUAUAGCCUCCCCAUAUUUUGUCAUAAAUAUCUCAGGACAUUGGUUCCUCUUAUUCAUAAACUUCUCACCCCUUUUACAAAUUAGGUAUCUCCUUAUUACAUCUCCAACCCUGGGCACCCUUUCUGAACAGGACACCGUUUAUGUCGUCUUUCCUCCGCUACACCUCUGAGAAGUUUCUGGAAGUCUUGUCCAGUGGAUCUUAGGAGACAGUCUUCUGGUCUCCCCUUCUUCAGCCUGGUCGAUUCCAGGUGGUAUCAUUAACUGUCAAAACUUGGUGUCCCCUAACUUCCCUCCCGGACAGGAGUUGCUUCAGAUCCAGGACAGAACUAGCUUUAACUAGCCUCCUACAUGACUCUGUCCUCCCACAACGCCUAUAGGUGUCUAGUUGUCUCUUAUCUUUUGUGGAAUAAACAUGAAACCCCAGAGGAA